rnacentral:rRNA from 1 species
AAUCAACGCUGGCGGCGUGUCUAACACAUGCAAGUCGAACGCGAGAGGGGCUUCGGCCCCGAUUGAGUGGCGAACGGGUGAGUAACGCGUGGGUGACCUACCUUCGAGUGGGGAUAACGUCCCGAAGGGACGCUAAUACCGCAUAACAUCCUGCUUUUGAAUGGGUGGAGAUCAAAGCCGGGGAUCGCAAGACCUGGCGCUUGAUGA